GAUGAACGCUGGCGGCGUGCCUAAUACAUGCAAGUCGAGCGAACGGACGAGAAGCUUGUUUCUCUGAUGUUAGCGGCGGACGGGUGAGUAACACGUGGAUAACCUACCUAUAAGACUGGGAUAACUUCGGGAAACCGGAGCUAAUACCGGAUGAUAUUUUGAACCGCAUGGUUCAAAAGUGAAAGACGCUCUUGCUGUCACUUAUAGAGGGAUCCGCGCUGCAUUAGCUAGUUGGUAAGGUAACGGCUUACCAAGGCAACGAUGCAUAGCCGACCUGAGAGGGUGAUCGGCCACACUGGAACUGAGACACGGUCCAGACUCCUACGGGAGGCAGCAGUAGGGAAUCUUCGGCAAUGGGCGAAAGCCUGACGGAGCAACGCCGCGUGAGUGAUGAAGGUCUUCGGAUCGUAAAACUCUGUUAUUAGGGAAGAACAUAUGUGUAAGUAACUGUGCACAUCUUGACGGUACCUAAUCAGAAAGCCACGGCUAACUACGUG
rnacentral:rRNA from 1 species